rnacentral:rRNA from 1 species
AGAUUAAGCCAUGCAUGUCUCAGUACAAGCCAAAUUAAGGUGAAACCGCGAAAGGCUCAUUAAAUCAGUUAUGGUUCAUUAGAUCGUACCCACAUUUACUUGGAUAACUGUGGUAAUUCUAGAGCUAAUACAUGCAAACAGAGCUCUGACCGGAGACGGAAGGAGUGCUUUUAUUAGAUCAAAACCAAUCGGUGGCAGUUUAGUUUCGGCUAUACUGUUUAUCGCAUUAUUUGGUGACUCUGAAUAACUUUUGGCUGAUCGCACGGUCUCGCACCGGCGACGCAUCUUUCAAAUGUCUGCCUUAUCAACUGUCGAUGGUAGGAUCUGCGCCUACCAUGGUUGUAACGGGUAACGGGGAAUCAGGGUUCGAUUCCGGAGAGGGAGCCUGAGAAACGGCUACCACAUCCAAGGAAGGCAGCAGGCGCGCAAAUUACCCACUCCCGGCACGGGGAGGUAGUGACGAAAAAUAACGAUACAGGACUCAUCCGAGGCCCUGUAAUCGGAAUGAGCACACUUUAAAUCCUUUAACAAGGAUCUAUUAGAGGGCCAGUCUGGUGCCAGCAGCCGCGGUAAUUCCAGCUCUAAUAGCGUAUAUUAAAGUUGUUGCGGUUAAAAAGCUCGUAGUUGUAUUUGUGUUCCACGCUGUCGGUUCACCGCCCGCGGUGUUUAACUGGCAUGUCUCGUGGAACGUCCUGCCGGUGGACGUUUUGGUCAUUGUUAAUUUCCCACUUUAUUUAAUUCUAAGUACAUUGCCAUCUGGUUUUUACUUAUUUUUGGUAAAGGUUCUGGCGGAUUACAAUGUAACCUGCGUCCGCAAUUUAAAUAUUUCCCUGUUGCGGUGCUCUUAAUUGAGUGUCAUGACGGGCCGGCACGUUUACUUUGAACAAAUUAAAGUGCUCAAAGCAGGCUAAAAUUUUGCCUGAAUACUUAGUGCAUGGAAUAAUGGAAUAGGACCUCAGUUCCAUUUUGUUGGUUUUUUUGGGAACCCUGAGGUAAUGAUUAAUAGGAACAGAUGGGGGCAUUCGUAUUGCGACGUUAGAGGUGAAAUUCUUGGAUCGUCGCAAGACGAACAGUUGCGAAAGCAUUUGCCAAAAAUGUUUUCAUUAAUCAAGAACGAAAGUCAGAGGCUCGAAGGCGAUCAGAUACCGCCCUAGUUCUGACCAUAAACGAUGCCAGCUAGCGAUCCGCCGACGUUCCUCCGAUGACUCGGCGGGCAGCUUCCGGGAAACCAAAGCUUUUGGGUUCCGGGGGAAGUAUGGUUGCAAAGCUGAAACUUAAAGGAAUUGACGGAAGGGCACCACCAGGAGUGGAGCCUGCGGCUUAAUUUGACUCAACACGGGAAAGCUCACCAGGCCCGGACACUCGAAGGAUUGACAGAUUGAGAGCUCUUUCUUGAUUGAGUGGGCGGUGGUGCAUGGCCGUUCUUAGUUCGUGGAGCGAUUUGUCUGGUUAAUUCCGAUAACGAUCGAGACUCUAUCCUGCUAAAUAGGCGUUUUACCGGUAUCCUGAAGGCUCGUGUCUUCCGUGUCCCGGCAUUUUAUGUGUUUUGUAAAUUAUUAGAUUUAUCUAGUGUUUACCUAACCAUAUAAUGUUUGGGUCGGUUGUUCACGGUUUUUACUACCGGCGUUAUAUAUAAUUCUUCUUAGAGGGACAGGUGGUUCUUAGCCACAUGAGAUUGAGCAAUAACAGGUCUGUGAUGCCCUUAGAUGUUCUGGGCCGCACGCGCGCUACACUGAAGGAAUCAGCGUGUCUUCCCUGGCCGAGCGGUCCGGGUAACCCGCUGAACCUCCUUCGUGCUAGGGAUUGGGGCUUGCAAUUAUUCCCCAUGAACGAGGAAUUCCUAGUAAACAUGAGUCAUAAGCUCAUGUUGAUUAGGUCCCUGCCCUUUGUCCACACCGCCCGUCGCUACUACUGAUUGGAUGAUUUAGUGAGGUCUUCSGACUUGGUACGCGGCAAUGCCGAAAGGCCAUUGUUGAUGUUACA